rnacentral:rRNA from 1 species
UACAGAGGGUGCGAGCGUUAAUCGGAAUUACUGGGCGUAAAGCGCGCGUAGGCGGCUUUGCAAGUCGGGUGUGAAAUCCCCAGGCUUAACCUGGGGACUGCAUUCGAGACUGCAUUGCUAGAGUAUGGGGGAGGGAAGUGGAAUUUCCGGUGUAGCGGUGAAAUGCGUAGAUAUCGGAAGGAACAUCAGUGGCGAAAGCGACUUCCUGGACCAAUACUGACGCUCAUGUGCGAAAGCGUGGGGAGCAAACAGG